UCACAUCCCCUCUUCCCCCAACCUCAAGCAAUCAUUGGAUCUCUUAAUUUUAUUUAGUUAUAUCUCACCUCUUUAAAAAGAAUUUGAAAAUGGCCUUAAAAGGGAGUAAAUACAUCAAUAAAAGAGGGGGGAAAAGAAGAAAAAACAAGAUGAAGAGGAGAAAGAUAUCCCAACCAUAAAGGUCGAUAGAGCGACUGUGAUUGAACUUGAAGGCAGAAGCUUGGCUGCAGCCUCCUCAUAGCCUAGAUAAAGAGGGGAAUGUGGUACUUAAACUAUCAUCUGAGAGGAAGAAGUAUUUCAUUUUCUCAGGGUAGGCAAAAUUUCGUUAGCACAAAGAGCUGAGAUGUUCCUUGUACAAGUUAUCAGCCAGAAGUUUUUGGAGGAUGCUCAAUGAGAGUAUCAUAGCAAAUGCGGGAGGAACAUUCACUUGUCUGUUUCUUCUGGGCAACCUUCCGUAAAUGUUUCUAUAGCAAAUAUUAAAGUAUCUUCCCCAGAUAAGACUACCCUCAACCAGGCUUUUCAGAGAAGUGGGAUAUUAAACAAUUCAAAAUUAUCUUCUCUAGGCAGGGCCUGGAGCUCCAGAAUCCUUUACUGAUAAACAAGAACAGAAGCAUUUGUUUUGAAAACCAGAUUCUGAAUUGACUGAGAAAUAAGACAAAGGUGCAAAGAAGAUGGGAGCAAAAAAUAUAUCUGCUAGUAGAAAAUGUGGCAUGUACAUGGGUGCUGUACCAAGCCUGAGGAGAAAAAUAAGUGAAAACCUUGAGAUGUUUCCAGUGAAGACUUCUUAUAUUUUAUCCUUGACCACGUGCUUGGAGAUGGCAGGUAGGUAGAGACUUCAGCAGUUGUAUUAAUUAGGAUGCAUUUGCCCGCAAGCAACAGGAAACCCAGCUUGAAGUGCCUUAAACAACCAAGAGAACACACUGUGACUAAGACUGUUGGGUAUUUUCUAAUAUCAGUUUUCCACUUCUAGCAGGAGCAGAAGUCCCAAUUUAUAGCUGGGCAUCUGGCCUCUCAGAAUAAAGACAAUGUUUUUCAAUCUCACCUACAGUUAACCAGCUGCCAUCAAGUCAGUUCGGACUCAUGGCAACCC